UCUCAGUACAGACUGUAUUAAAGUAAAACCGCAAAAGGCUCAGUAAACCAGUUUUAAUUUACUAGAGUAAACUUGACUGUGCUUGGAUAACUGUGGUAAUUCUAGAGCUAAUACAUGCAAACAAACCCCCGGCCAUUUAUGGUAGGGGCGCUUUUAUUGGUCCAAGACCAUUCGCCCGGUUCGCCGGGCGUCUCCUUGAUGAAUCCAAAUAACAAAUCAGAUCGCAUGGUCUCCGUACCGGCGACUUAUCUUUCAAAUGCCUGACUUAUCAACUGACGAUGGUAGACUCUGUGUCUACCAUGGCUCCUACGGGUAACGGGGAAUCAGGGUUCGAUUCCGGAGAGGGAGCCUGAGAAACGGCUACCACAUCCAAGGAAGGCAGCAGGCACGCAAAUUACCCACUCCCGGCACGGGGAGGUAGUGACAAAAAAUAACGAUACGGGACUCGAUAUGAGGCCCCGUAAUCGGAAUGAGUACACUUUAAACCCUUAUUCAAAUAUCAAUUGGAGGGAAAGUUCUGGUGCCAGCAGCCGCGGUAAUUCCAGCUCCAAUAGCGUAUAUUAAAGUUGUUGCGGUUAAAAAGCUCGUAGUUGGUUCUGCGUCCCACGCUGUCGGUACACCUUUUGUUGGUGACACUGGCAUGCCGUGGUAUGUCCUGUCGGUGGCGGCCUUUGGUGGCCCUAGCGCUUCGGAUUAAACCUUAGUGCGAAGGUCUACCGGUCGCCGGCUACUAUCCUACCGCGGUGCUCUUCAUUGAGUGUCGAGGUAGGCCGACACGUUUACUUUGAACAAAUUUGAGUGCUUAAAGCAGGCAAAAAUCUCUGCCUGAAUAGUGGUGCAUGGAAUAAUGGAACAGGCCCUUGGUUCUAUUUUGUUGGUCUUCGGAACACAAGGAAAUGAUCAAUGUGGACAGGCGGGGGCAUUCGUAUUGCGGCGUUAGAGGUGAAAUUCUUGGAUCGUCGCAAGACGCACUAGAGCGAAAGCAUUUGCCAAGUAUGUCUUAAUGAUCAAGAACGAAAGUUAGAGGUUCGAAGGCGAUCAGAUACCGCCCUAGUUCUAACCAUAAACGAUGCCAGCCAGCGAUCCGCCGAUGUUCCUCCGAUGACUCGGCGGGGAGCUUUCCCCGGGAAACCAAAGCUUUUGGGUUCCGGGGGAAGUAUGGUUGCAAAGCUGAAACUUAAAGGAAUUGACGGAAGGGCACCACCAGGAGUGGAGCCUGCGGCUUAAUUUGACUCAACACGGGAAACCUCACCAGGUCAGGACAUUGGAAGGAUUGACAGAUUGAUAGCUCUUUCUUGAUUCAGUGGGUAGUGGUGCAUGGCCGUUCUUAGUUGGUGGAUCGAUUUGUCUGGUUAAUUCCGAUAACGAACGAGACUCUAGCCUAUUAACUAGGCGUUUCUGGUAUCGUAGCUACCAGCGAAACAUAUUCUUCUUAAGGGGACAGGCGGCUUAUAGCCGCACGAGAUUGAGCAAUAACAGGUCUGUGAUGCCCUUAGAUGUCCUGGGCCGCACGCGCGCUACACUGAAGGAAUCAGCGUGUGCUUUCCCUUGGCCGAAAGGUCCGGGUAACCCGCUGAACCUCCUUCGUGCUAGGAAUUGGGGCUUGCAAUUGUUCCCCAUGAACGAGGAAUUCCCAGUAAGCGCGAGUCAUAAGCUCGCGUUGAUUACGUCCCUGCCCUUUGUACACACCGCCCGUCGCUACUACCGAUUGAAUGAUUUAGUGAGGUCUUCGGACUGGCGGUAAGCCUUGUCGACUCGUCGGCUUUGCUGAACGCUGGAAAGAUGACCAAACUUGAUCAUUUAGAGGAAGUAAAAGUCGU
rnacentral:rRNA from 1 species